UACAGAGGUCUCAAGCGUUGUUCGGAUUCAUUGGGGCGUAAAGGGUGCGUAGGCGGCGCGGUAAGUCGGGUGUGAAAUUUCGAGGCUUAACUUCGAAACUGCAUUCGAUACUGCCGUGCUUGAGGACUGGAGAGGAGACUGGAAUUUACGGUGUAGCGGUGAAAUGCGUAGAUAUCGUAAGGAAGACCAGUGGCGAAGGCGGGUCUCUGGACAGUUCCUGACGCUGAGGAGCGAAAGCGUGGGGAGCAAACAGG
rnacentral:rRNA from 1 species